GGCCGACUGCAAGAGGAGACGUACAGUCCGCUAAGCUGAGGGAACGAGCGAGUGACUAGGGUUUUCUUCUUCUUUCUGCGUGAGGAAAGAGGAGAUUACAAAAAAGUGACAUGCGAGUUCAACUACAGAAGGGCAAAGCAAUGAAGGAAGUAGAGCAAAGUGAGCAAAGGUGUGAGCAAGAAGAGAAAAACGCUGAGGGAACGAGCAGGCGACUAGGGUUCUUCUUUCUAAGAGGGGAUAUUAUGAAAAAGUGAUAGGAGAGUUCAACAACAGAAGGGCAAAGCAAUGAAGGAAGUAGAGCAAAGUGAGCAAAGGUGUGAGCAAGAAGAGAAAAACGCUGAGGGAACGAGCAGGCGACUAGGGUUCUUCUUCUUUCUAAGAGGGAAGAUUAUGAAAAAGUGAUAGGAGAGUUCAACAACAGAAGUGAUUCCCACCUGGUACUUACACACGUAUACCCUGCAACAAAUAAACUCAACAUCUGACAUAACAGAAACUAGAGGGCAUAUUAUAAUAAAAGGAGAGACGUGUCUACGUAAACUACAUUGCAGCUGAAGUAAAGAGGGCCACCGAUUUUUCAAUAAAAGGAGAGACGUGUUUGUGAUGGGAAAACAGCUCUGAGAAUUCUUGUUUCCCACUAAUACUCUAUGAACUUAAAUAAAUAAACAAAUAAUAGUCCAACAGCCUUAUAACAACCAACCAAUGCCAUAUGCACUGGAAGAUCAUAUUCUUGGUAAGUCCACUACCCAGCUUUGACUUUCGAAUCAACAAUCUUUUUAGCAUAAAAAUCCAGUCAAAAGAACUAGUGAGAAUGCUUUUGGCUCAAAUCAGCUUUUAAGUUAACAUCAAACUGCAGAGUCAAUAUUAUUCCAUAAAGUAAACUUUGGAAGCUUGACAACAAAGAGCAGGAUUAGAAAUAGGAAUGCUAUGCUCAGGAUGAGUCAUGAGCUUCGCCAGAACUUCUUUACAUAAUAUAUGAAGCCAAAAAGAAGAUUCCGCAGGAAUAUUACAUGCACUAAUUUAUCAGGAAGAAGCUGCUCGUUGGUACAUAUCAUGCUCUCUCCAGAAAUGAUAAAGCACAAUUUUUGGCAAAAGGAACAUAAUCACCAAUUCCAAUAUUAGUAUUUUCAUGUGCUAUUCAGAAUCAAAAUGAGCAGGCAUUCUCCUAUAUGACAGAAUGCCUAUCCCCCUCCUUUACGAGACACUUUUUUUUUUAAUCAUAGCCUAACUAUUUCCCAUUUCAUAGAUGGAUAUCUAGGGACUCAAGUCUAUAUAAAAUUGACUGUACACAAUUGUAAUAUGUACCAGACAUAUUUUACUCGACUAAUUAUCAAAAUUGAAUCCAACAAGA
rnacentral:lncRNA from 1 species